UCGGCAAAUUAACACCGUAACUUGGGGAGAAGGUGUGCCCCGGUAGCGUGUAGAGACUUGCUCUCGAAGCGCGAUGGGGUUGCAGUGAAAUGGUGGCUGCGACUGUUUAAUAAAAACACAGCACUCUGCAAACACGAAAGUGGACGUAUAGGGUGUGACGCCUGCCCGGUGCCGGAAGGUUAAGUGAUGGGGUGCAAGCUCUUGAUCGAAGCCUCGGUAAACGGCGGCCGUAACAAUAACGGUCCUAAGGUAGCGAAAUUCCUUGUCGGGUAAGUUCCGACCUGCACGAAUGGCGUAACGAUGGCCACACUGUCUCCUCCUGGGACUCAGCGAAGUUGAAAUGUUUGUGAAGAUGCAAUCUACCCGCGGCUAGACGGAAAGACCCCAUGAACCUUUACUGUAGCUUUGCAUUGGACUUUGAACCGGUUUGUGUAGGAUAGGUGGGAGACUGUGAAGCCGGGACGCUAGUUUCGGUGGAGUCAACCUUGAAAUACCACCCUGAUUUGUUUGAGGUUCUAACCUUGGUCCGUGAAUCCGGAUCGGGGACCGUGCAUGGUAGGCAGUUUGACUGGGGCGGUCUCCUCCCGAAAGGUAACGGAGGAGUACGAAGGUACGCUUAGGGCGGUCGGACAUCGCCCACAAAGUGCAAUGGCAAAAGCGUGCUUGACUGCGAGACCCACAAGUCGAGCAGGUACGAAAGUAGGUCAUAGUGAUCCGGUGGUUCUGUAUGGAAGGGCCAUCGCUCAACGGAUAAAAGGUACUCUGGGGAUAACAGGCUAAUUCCUCCCAAGAGUUCAUAUCGACGGGGGAGUUUGGCACCUCGAUGUCGGCUCAUCACAUCCUGGGGCUGUAGUCGGUCCCAAGGGUAUGGCUGUUCGCCAUUUAAAGUGGUACGCGAGCUGGGUUUAAAACGUCGUGAGACAGUUUGGUCCCUAUCUGCCGUGGGCGCUGGAAAUUUGAAGGGGGCUGCUCCUAGUACGAGAGGACCGGAGUGGACGAACCUCUGGUGUACCGGUUAUGACGCCAGUCGUAUCGCCGGGUAGCUAAGUUCGGAAGAGAUAAACGCUGAAAGCAUCUAAGCGUGAAACUCGCCUUAAGAUAAGAUUUCCCGGAGUCUUGAACUCCCUGAAGGGUCGUCGAAGACCACGACGUCGAUAGGUCAGGUGUGGAAGCGCAGCAAUGCGUUAAGCUAACUGAUACUAAUUGCCCGUGCGGCUUGAUCCU
rnacentral:rRNA from 1 species